AUUGAACGCUGGCGGCAGGCCUAACACAUGCAAGUCGAACGAGUGGCGGACGGGUGAGUAAUGUCUGGGAAACUGCCUGCGGGAGGGGGAUAACUACUGGAAACGGUAGCUAAUACCGCAUACCCUCAGAUGUACCCAGAUGGGAUUAUCUAGUUGGUGGGGUAACGGCUCACCAAGGCGACGAGCCCUAGCUGGUCUGAGAGGAAGAACAGCCACACUGGAACUUAGACACGGUCCAGACGCCUACGUGAGGCAGCAGGGGGUAAUAUUGCACAAUGGGCGCAAGCCUGAUGCAGCCAUGCCGCGUGUAUGAAGAAGGCCUUCGGGUUGUAAAGUACUUUCAGCGGGGAGGCGUUACCCGCAGGAGAAGCACCGGCUAACUCCGUGCCAGCAGCCGCGGUAAUUC
rnacentral:rRNA from 1 species